AUUGAACGCUGGCGGCAUGCCUUACACAUGCAAGUCGAACGGCAGCACGAGGCAACCUGGUGGCGAGUGGCGAACGGGUGAGUAAUGCAUCGGAACGUGCCAUUGAGUGGGGGAUAACGUAGCGAAAGUUGCGCUAAUACCGCAUAUUCUGUGAGCAGGAAAGCAGGGGACCGCAAGGCCUUGCGCUCUUUGAGCGGCCGAUGUCAGAUUAGCUAGUUGGUGAGGUAACGGCUUACCAAGGCGACGAUCUGUAGCGGGUCUGAGAGGAUGAUCCGCCACACUGGAACUGAGACACGGUCCAGACUCCUACGGGAGGCAGCAGUGAGGAAUUUUACGCAAUGGGCGAAAGCCUGACGUAGCGACACCGCGUGAGCGAAGAAGCCCCUUGGGGUGUAAAGCUCUGUCAGCUGGAACGAAAAAAAUAGACGGUACCAGCAGAGGAAGCACCGGCUAACUACGUGCCAGCAGCCGCGGUAAU
rnacentral:rRNA from 1 species